rnacentral:rRNA from 1 species
CCUGGCUCAGAACGAACGUUAGCGGCGCGCCUAACACAUGCAAGUCGAGCGAGAAAGGGCUUCGGCCCCGGUAAAGCGGCGCACGGGUGAGUAACACGUAGGCAAUCUGCCUCGAGGUGGUGGAUAACCCUCCGAAAGGAGGGCUAAUACAGCAUGAGACCACGUCGUCGAAAGACGAUGCGGCCAAAGCCGGCCUCUUCAUGAAAGCUGGCGCCACGAGAUGAGCCUGCGGCCCAUCAGCUAGUUGGUAGGGUAACGGCCUACCAAGGCAAAGACGGGUAGCUGGUCUGAGAGGAUGAUCAGCCACACUGGAACUGAGACACGGUCCAGACUCCUACGGGAGGCAGCAGUGGGGAAGUCUUGCGCGGGGGAAUGGGCGAAAGCCUGACGCAGCGACGCCGCGUGAGCGAUGAAGGCC